rnacentral:rRNA from 1 species
UACGAAGGGUGCAAGCGUUACUCGGAAUUACUGGGCGUAAAGCGCGCGUAGGUGGCCAUGUAAGUCCGCUGUGAAAGUCAAAGGCUCAACCUUUGAAAGCCGGUGGAUACUGCAUGGCUAGAGUACGGAAGAGGCGAGUGGAAUUCCUGGUGUAGCGGUGGAAUGCGCAGAUAUCAGGAGGAACACCGGUGGCGAAGGCGGGUCUCUGGGCCGAUACUGACGUGAGGAGCGAAAAGCGUGGGGGAGCGAAACAGG